UGCUGACGGAGACCAUUAAUGAGCAUUACAGAGUGAUUUACAACACCUGGGUCCCACUUAAAAUAGUGUUACAGAAAGUAUCACAUCUGUGUACCCGAGCUUGAGAAGACUGAUAGAAUUUUAUUUGCUUCUGAAUUCUGCAGCAUAGGUUGAAGGGCACACACCACCUCUCCUUCUUCAUUUUUCUUUAAGUUACUUGUGCUGCUAGUCCAUCCUUUGCUGACAUUAGUGGCACUAUACAAUACAACUGCCCUGGUUUUGGUUCCUUCAUUCACACACACUGUAGAUGAAUGUCAGAAGGUAAUUGCUUGUGUUUCCUACACUGGCAAAUUGCUUUGUCUUUCAAAGAGUACGUGUGCCUGUGUUUUUCUUUGUGGACAGCACUUGGGAAAUGCUGAAAGCAUAAGGGUACAGUGUAUGUGUAUACCCUCCACGUGGUGUUGAUCAUCUUUCACAUCAGAAGAAUCAAGAAACCAAGACGUUACUUUGUGUUAAUCACAUAUUGGAAUGCAUUGUUAAAGCCUGGUGCCUACAAAAGAAAAAGCUGUUCAUCCUUUGGCCUCGCUUCAAACAAGAAUGUCAAAGUCUGUGUGAAAGAGCCAUCAGAGCCUUCUGCUGUUACUGGUGAACCCUGAGGCUGUGAGGGCAAGGGAGGAGAGCAGAGAGCCCGGGAGAAUGGGUGAAGCUGGCAAAGGCUGGACUGAAAAUGUCUACAAAGUUAGCAGAGGACUUGGCCUGCAAAGGGAGACCUCGGUGUCGUGGAGGGCCCUUGCCUGAAUGUGAAGCCUAUAGCCAUAUUUUAAAACAAAACACUAACACAUUCAGCGUGCCUUACUUUUGCUCCAAAUCACUGCAGCUGUGGCCAUUCUGUGAUUCGUGCAGUACAGUGGAGGGAAGAAGUCUCUAUCAAUAGUUCUGCUGGAAGGAGUUCAGGUAGGAAGGAAAGGAGCUGUCUAGAUGUCCUGUGGGGAAGUCAGUGGAUGCGCAUGUCUCCUUACCCUUUCGGCUUUCUCUGCCAGCUAGUCUUUCCAUAGUAUUAUUGCUGUAACAAAUCCAGCCCUCACUUUUAAAGUGGGAAACAAAGAACACCAGCAGUGCCCUUCAAAAAAUGUGCAUGUACCCUUUCCCACCCACUCAAAAAGGAGUGGGGAUGGAGAACAUAAAAGACACAAAUCCCUUAUGUUCUCCGAAGCCUCGUGUACCUUCAGCACACUAAGUUUCUGCUGUAAGCCUCUCCUUCCAUUCCAAACCAAGCUAAAAUUAUCCUUCUGAAGUCUUUCCUAGACAAGCUUUUGUUACAUGACUCUUUUGGACAAGCAUCAAUCUGUUUCCCAAAAGCCUGUCUUCCAGGAAUGGCUUAGUGCUGGCUUUGGGGCAGGUGCUCAGAUAUUCUGCAGCAGAUGCUGCUUUCUGGUGUAGCCCAUCACUGCAGCGUGCUGCAAAAUGGCAGUCUGAGCAUCCCUUAAUGCUUGAAGUUUAACCACAGCUGGAGCUGCUUCUUUGAAUCCUGUCGGUUCUAUUUGCAUCGAGUUGUUUCAGCUGAUGUGGUGCUGCCUAGAAAAACACUGAGGAUCCAUACAGAAGUACUUAUUUCUCUCAUAUUUAAAGGAAGCUUUGGCCUGUACAUUUUUAACAUCUUCAAAAUCUGUUGGUGUUUGUGGCAGUAGCUAUUCACAGUUGCUGUUUUCAUGUUGUCUGUCACCUUUUCCAAAUGGAAACACAGUGCACUCAUAUGAAGAAUUUUGAUUCCAGGUUGGCAAUAGGAGUGGGACACAGUGACCCGAGGAGCUUUCCAGGCCUUGCUCUGUCUUGUCUUUAAGCAAAGAAUAAUUGGUAUCCAAAUGUCUCAGGUUUUGUAUUUUUUUGUGGUUCUAUUUUUUUAAACUCUGAGCUGGUUUCGUUAGCGUACCAAAGAUGGCAACUGAAUGCAUUUCUAGGCACAGUUUGUAGCUGCAUUUAAUAUUGGGUUCUUUGUCUUCCCUUUCUAGGUAAUUAGAGAACUCUUCCAGCCCUCCAAAUGAGGCAAACUGUGAGUAAUGAGCUACUUUGUCCUAUGUCAGAGUGCCUUCUCUCCAAGUGCUGUUUGCUGUCUGGAUUUCUGACCGUUGAACAAGAAGUGUCCAUUGUGCUUCUCAUUUUUCAUUAAUUUUGAAGGUAACGUCUGCAUCCAGACAGCUGUGUUCAUUGGCCUGAAGUACUAAGCUACCAAUAAAUUUUCCUCCUGAUUUUUAA